GACGUAGGGGGCGAGCGUUGUCCGGAUUCAUUGGGCGUAAAGCGCGCGUAGGCGGCUGCGCAAGUCGGUUGUGAAAUUCCGGGGCUCAACCCCGGAACUGCGUCCGAUACUGCGUGGCUAGAGGUAGGUAGGGGAGAUCGGAAUUCCUGGUGUAGCGGUGAAAUGCGCAGAUAUCAGGAGGAACACCGGUGGCGAAGGCGGAUCUCUGGGCCUUACCUGACGCUCAGGCGCGAAAGCUAGGGGAGCAAACGGG
rnacentral:rRNA from 1 species